UAAAACACAUCAAUGUAUACAUAAAUGAAAUGCAUAUACAAACAUUAAACAUUUUUGUUACUUCAUAUAGAUAUAGGACGAUACGGAACGAGUGCAAAAGAGACAACUAUCCAUCAAAGUCACAAUUUAUAAGAGUAAAGCAUUAUUGGUCAAAGUACGGUCUUCAACACGAAACAUUGGCUCACACCGAAUAGCAAUCUAUAAAGAGCCCCAAAAAUUACUAGUGUAAAACCAUUCAUGGUAAUAUACUUAUGGAUAUGUAUAUAUUAUACAUACUUUCUGUUAAAUUUAAAAUGAUCAUGGAACAUUUAAAAAAAUGAAAACAAAUUAAUAAUUUCAUGUGUCCGAAGCGCUUUUCUGCAUUUACCUUCAUCAGGAACGCUUAACGUUUAAGCAGAAGAUGUAUAAGAACCAAAACAGUUGGUGAGCGUUA
rnacentral:lncRNA from 1 species